GUUUUGUUUUCUAUAUCUAUAUUUUUAUAUACACAUAUAUAUUUUAUAUACAUACAUAUAUGUGUUUAUAUAUAAAUUUUUAUUGGUGUGUAAUGCUUAAGCAUAAUAGUGUGAUAUUUUAAUCUUAAGGUACAUAGCUUGCUUACAGAGGGAAGGCAAGUGUCAUGAGCCAUCCGUGGACUGCAUGUGGGCCACUGCACAUCAAAGUCUAGUGAAUAGGAACAUCUGGUGUCUGGGAAUGACCAGUGGACAUUUCCUAUGGUUGAUUGCCCUGACACAUUGUGAAUUCCUAUUCUGUUCUGCCAAAGUCCCACAUAGCACCAGAGAUGGGGUGAACUGCUGUAGCUGCACAGCACCUAAGAUGGGUAUGACCUGCCAAGAUGCCAAUCAACCUGCUGAAUGCAAGACAUCAUAAAGCAAGACUCCGCCCUUGAAACCUUAUCCCUGUCUUUGAUGUACUCCCUUUAAUAAACCACUGGAGACAUCUUCUUUUGUCUACUUCCAGCACCCUGGUGGACUAAACAUCAGAUAUAUUUCUGACUCUUUGCCUUUUGUUCUUCACUAAUUAUUCUAGACUUUAAUUUCUCAGGUGGCUUGCACCCUCCUUGGCAGGAAGAAGAGCCCCCAAUGAGAUGUUGGCUGUCACCCCAAAGGCAAGCAGUAAAAUAAAAUAUUUGUCCUUGCAUUAUGCCAAUUUCCUGAAUUAAUCAAACAGAGAGUUUAGUUUGCCAUUCUUCCUCUUUUCUAUACUUGUGAGCAAAUUAUUUUAACAUGAGGAAAAUAAUUGUUUAGAAUAGAAGCUGUAUUUACAAUGGUUAAAUAAUUCAACUUGUCAACAAACACUUCCUCCAAAAUAUAUUUGAAGUAGAGAAAUCCUUAGGCGAUUUACACUUUGGGGUGAGCAUCUUUCUGUGGCAUUUCAUUCUCUGUAAUUCCAUUAAAAGAGCACAAUUUAUUGCACAUCUGUCUUUGCAGAUUUUAUCAAUGCUGAAACCUUUUAAACUGAGAAUGGGAUUAAAUAAACCCCAUUUACCAAUGUGGUAAAAUAUAAUAGACACCUACCCCAUUAAAUGGCUAGCUAAAUCAAUAUAUCCACUUGGCAGCAAUUUCCAGAAGAUAAGGUGAAGCCCUCCUGUUCUAUUUGAUAGAUGAGUAAACUUACAGGGGAGAAUUUACAGUAGAUUCAGAGUGUACCUUAAAGGAGUGUUCAUUAUUCUCAAAUUACCUUCUCAUGUCAGCAGAUUUGUGGUUAGUAAACAGAGAGGCCAUUCAUACUUCCUCUCCCGUGUGGCUGUAGAUAUGGAUUUGAAGCAGGUAACUGACAUGGCCAGCAGAGGAGUGUUUGGAUCUAUUUAGCAAGGAGGAGAUUUCAGAUGCAUUUAAAGGAUAAUUAAAAAUUUUAAUUGGGGGAAUCAUGUAGUUUGAAAUUAUUCCAAAUAAUGUGGCUAUUUGAAGGGAGAUAAGGUAAUGUGAAAGACAUUCAUACAAGAAGUUAAAGAAAUAGUUAUAAU
rnacentral:lncRNA from 1 species